ACCGAUAGUGAACCAGUACCGUGAGGGAAAGGCGAAAAGAACCCCGGCGAGGGGAGUGAAAAAGAACCUGAAACCGUGUACGUACAAGCAGUGGGAGCACAGAGCAAUCUGUGUGACUGCGUACCUUUUGUAUAAUGGGUCAGCGACUUAUAUUCUGUAGCAAGGUUAACCGAAUAGGGGAGCCGAAGGGAAACCGAGUCUUAACUGGGCGUUAAGUUGCAGGGUAUAGACCCGAAACCCGGUGAUCUAGCCAUGGGCAGGUUGAAGGUUGGGUAACACUAACUGGAGGACCGAACCGACUAAUGUUGAAAAAUUAGCGGAUGACUUGUGGCUGGGGGUGAAAGGCCAAUCAAACCGGGAGAUAGCUGGUUCUCCCCGAAAGCUAUUUAGGUAGCGCCUCGUGAAUUCAUCUCCGGGGGUAGAGCACUGUUUCGGCAAGGGGGUCAUCCCGACUUACCAACCCGAUGCAAACUGCGAAUACCGGAGAAUGUUAUCACGGGAGACACACGGCGGGUGCUAACGUCCGUCGUGAAGAGGGAAACAACCCAGACCGCCAGCUAAGGUCCCAAAGUCAUGGUUAAGUGGGAAACGAUGUGGGAAGGCCCAGACAGCCAGGAUGUUGGCUUAGAAGCAGCCAUCAUUUAAAGAAAGCGUAAUAGCUCACUGGUCGAGUCGGCCUGCGCGGAAGAUGUAACGGGGCUAAACCAUGCACCGAAGCUGCGGCAGCGACGCUUAUGCGUUGUUGGGUAGGGGAGCGUUCUGUAAGCCUGUGAAGGUGUACUGUGAGGUAUGCUGGAGGUAUCAGAAGUGCGAAUGCUGACAUAAGUAACGAUAAAGCGGGUGAAAAGCCCGCUCGCCGGAAGACCAAGGGUUCCUGUCCAACGUUAAUCGGGGCAGGGUGAGUCGACCCCUAAGGCGAGGCCGAAAGGCGUAGUCGAUGGGAAACAGGUUAAUAUUCCUGUACUUGGUGUUACUGCGAAGGGGGGACGGAGAAGGCUAUGUUGGCCGGGCGACGGUUGUCCCGGUUUAAGCGUGUAGGCUGGUUUUCCAGGCAAAUCCGGAAAAUCAAGGCUGAGGC
rnacentral:rRNA from 1 species